rnacentral:tRNA from 1 species
GCCAGAGUGGCGAAAUUGGCAGACGCGCUAGACUCAAAAUCUAGUAGUCUUUACGGCUGUGUGGGUUCAAGUCCCUCCUCUGGCA